AUUGAACGCUGGCGGCAUGCCUUACACAUGCAAGUCGAACGGCAGCACGGGGGCAACCCUGGUGGCGAGUGGCGAACGGGUGAGUAAUGCAUCGGAACGUGCCCAGUAGUGGGGGAUAACCAGUCGAAAGACUGGCUAAUACCGCAUACGACCUACGGGUGAAAGCGGGGGACCGUAAGGCCUCGCGCUAUUGGAGCGGCCGAUGUCUGAUUAGCUAGUUGGCGGGGUAAGAGCCCACCAAGGCGACGAUCAGUAGCGGGUCUGAGAGGACGACCAGCCACACUGAGACUGAGACACGGCCCAGACUCCUACGGGAGGCAGCAGUGGGGAAUUUUGGACAAUGGGGGCAACCCUGAUCCAGCAAUGCCGCGUGAGUGAAGAAGGACUUCGGGUUGUAAAGCUCUUUUGUCAGGGAAGAAACGGUGGGGGCUAAUAUCCUCUGCUAAUGACGGUACCUGAAGAAUAAGCACCGGCUAACUACGUACCAGCCGCCGCGGUAAGAC
rnacentral:rRNA from 1 species